GCGGCUGCAGCCUCGCUCUGGUCCCUGCGGCUGGCGGCCGAGCCGUGUGUCUCCUCCUCCGCCGCCGCCAUAUUGUCUGUGUGAGGAGAGGGGAGAGCGGCCACCGCCGCUGCCGCUUCCACCACAGUUUAAAGAAAAGAGGUCUGAAACAAGGUCUUACCCCCAGCUGCUUCUGAACACAGUGACCACCAGAUCUCCAAACAUCAAGUCCACCUUCGUUCGCCAACCUGUCUGACAUGUCGGGACCCGUGCCAAGCAGGGCCAGAGUUUACACAGAUGUUAAUACACACAGACCCCGAGAGUACUGGGAUUAUGAGUCACACGUGGUGGAGUGGGGUAAUCAAGAUGACUACCAGCUGGUUCGAAAAUUAGGCCGGGGUAAAUACAGUGAAGUGUUUGAAGCUAUCAACAUCACAAAUAAUGAAAAAGUUGUUGUUAAAAUUCUCAAGCCAGUAAAGAAGAAGAAAAUCAAGCGUGAAAUAAAGAUUUUGGAGAAUUUACGAGGCGGUCCCAAUAUCAUCACACUGGCAGACAUUGUAAAAGACCCUGUGUCACGAACCCCUGCCUUGGUUUUUGAACACGUAAACAACACAGACUUCAAGCAAUUGUACCAGACGUUAACAGACUAUGAUAUUCGAUUUUACAUGUAUGAGAUUCUGAAGGCCCUGGAUUAUUGUCACAGCAUGGGAAUUAUGCACAGAGAUGUGAAGCCCCAUAAUGUCAUGAUUGAUCAUGAGCACAGAAAGCUACGACUAAUAGACUGGGGUUUGGCUGAGUUUUACCAUCCUGGCCAAGAAUAUAAUGUCAGAGUUGCUUCCCGAUACUUCAAAGGUCCUGAGCUACUUGUAGACUAUCAGAUGUACGAUUAUAGUUUGGAUAUGUGGAGUUUGGGUUGUAUGCUGGCAAGUAUGAUCUUCCGGAAGGAGCCAUUUUUCCACGGACAUGAUAAUUAUGAUCAGUUGGUGAGGAUAGCCAAGGUUCUGGGGACAGAAGAUUUAUAUGACUAUAUUGACAAAUACAACAUUGAAUUAGAUCCACGUUUCAAUGAUAUCUUGGGCAGACACUCCCGUAAGCGAUGGGAACGCUUUGUCCACAGUGAAAACCAGCACCUUGUCAGUCCUGAGGCCUUGGAUUUCUUGGACAAGCUGCUGCGAUAUGACCACCAGUCACGGCUUACCGCAAGAGAGGCCAUGGAGCACCCCUAUUUCUAUACUGUUGUGAAGGACCAGGCUCGAAUGGGCUCAUCUAGCAUGCCGGGGGGCAGUACGCCUGUCAGCAGCGCCAAUAUGAUGUCAGGGAUUUCUUCAGUGCCAACCCCUUCACCCCUUGGACCUCUGGCAGGCUCACCAGUGAUUGCUGCGGCCAACCCCCUUGGGAUGCCUGUUCCAGCUGCCGCAGGCGCUCAACAGUAAUGGCCCCUUCUGUCUCCUGAUGCCUGAGCAGAGGUGGGGGAGUCUGCGCUCUCCUUGAUGCAGCUUGCGCCUGGCGGGGAGGGGUGAAAUACUUCAGAAGCACCGUGUCUGAACCGUUGCUUGUGGAUUUAUAGUAGUUCAGUCAUAAAAAAAAAAAUUAUAAUAGGCUGAUUUUCUUUUUUUUUUUUUCCUUCUUUUUUUUAACUCGAACUUUUCAUAACUCAGGGGAUUCCCUGAAAAAUUACCUGCAGGUGGAAUAUUUCACGGACAAAAUUUUCCCCCCCUUUCAAAUUCAGUUUCUCAUCACUAAAGAACAAAGAUGAACCAGCCUCAAUCCCGGCUGCUGCAUUUGGGUGGAGAUAUCUUCCCAUGUCCACCAUUGCUCCCCCACCAUCCCACACUAUGGGGGGUUUAUAUCUCAUGCUCUUCUCCAGAGAUUACAAAAAUGUUUUAGCUUCUUCAAGGGAGGUGGGAAGGAAGGAGGAAGGGAGGGCCCAAGCUACAAGAGCAGUGUACUGCUGGUCACUUUUCUCACACUACUCCAAGUGCUUCAGUGGGGUUGUCCUGGUGAAUCUCGUGGAAAUAUGUCUUAGUUUCAUUGAGAUGCUGAAAAUCUACCCAAAGUGCAGACAGGUCCUGAAAACGUCUGUUCAGUAUGAAUCAUGUCUUAUUGACCUAACCCUAAAUCCAGCUCACUUCUACUUUUAAUUCCAGUUCAGUUUAAGAUUAUAAUACCUUCCCUCCUGGGCUCCUUACCUUGGCCCUCUCCCCUGUCGUCUCCCUAUGUGCUCUAUAGCUGGGGGGAGGGAGAGGAAAAUUCUUUUUCAGUUUUCUUUGACUUGGCCAUUUUGAAUUCAGUUAGUUACUGGGCUUAACUUAUUGCUUUUUACAAAAGAAAAACAUUGUCUAUAUAGGUUUCAUGCUAGCAACUCUUUAAGAGCUAAUGGAAGAUGUGGCCACGCCGAGUUUCAUCUUAAGCUUUCUACCUUCUUUUCUUCCUUUCUUCCCCUUCCUUCACAUGCCAUCCAGUGAGAAGACCUGCCCCUCAGUCUUGUAAAUGUAUCUGAGAGGUAGGAGCAGAGCCACUAUCUCCAGUGAAACUGAAAUGGUAGACCUGUAAUUGUGGGAAAACUAUAAACUCUCUUGUUACAGCCCUGCCACCCCUUGCUGUGUGUAUAUAUAUAAUACUUUGUCCUUCAUAUGUGAAAGAUCCAGUGUUGGAAUUCUUUGGUGUAAAUAAACGUUUGGUUUUAUUUAUCAA